rnacentral:rRNA from 1 species
UACGAAGGUGGCAAGCGUUGUUCGGAUUUACUGGGCGUACAGGGAGCGUAGGCGGUUGGAUAAGCCCUCCGUGAAAUCUCCAGGCUUAACCUGGAAAGUGCAGAGGGGACUGUUCAGCUAGAGGAUGGGAGAGGAGCGCGGAAUUCCCGGUGUAGGCGGUAAAAUGCGCAGAUAUCAGGAGGAACACCGGUGGGCGAAGG